GAUGAACGCUGGCGGCGUGCCUAAUACAUGCAAGUCGAGCGAACAGACGAGGAGCUUGCUCCUCUGACGUUAGCGGCGGACGGGUGAGUAACACGUGGAUAACCUACCUAUAAGACUGGGAUAACUUCGGGAAACCGGAGCUAAUACCGGAUAAUAUAUUGAACCGCAUGGUUCAAUAGUGAAAGACGGUUUUGCUGUCACUUAUAGAUGGAUCCGCGCCGCAUUAGCUAGUUGGUAAGGUAACGGCUUACCAAGGCAACGAUGCGUAGCCGACCUGAGAGGGUGAUCGGCCACACCGGAACUGAGACACGGUCCAGACUCCUACGGGAGGCAGCAGUAGGGAAUCUUCCACAAUGGGCGAAAGCCUGACGGAGCAACGCCGCGUGAGUGAUGAAGGUCUUCGGAUCGUAAAACUCUGUUAUUAGGGAAGAACAAAUGUGUAAGUAACUAUGCACGUCUUGACGGUACCUAAUCAGAAAGCCACGGCUAACUACGUG
rnacentral:rRNA from 1 species